rnacentral:pre_miRNA from 1 species
AUUAUACUCCCUCCGUCCGAAAAUACUUGUCAUCAAAAUGGACAAAAAGGGAUGUAUCUAAAACUAAAAUACAUCUAGAUACAUCCCUUUUAUCCAUUUUGAUGACAAGUAUUUCUGGACAGAGGGAGUAUAUA